rnacentral:rRNA from 1 species
UACGAAGGGGGCUAGCGUUGCUCGGAAUCACUGGGCGUAAAGCGCACGUAGGCGGGUUAUUAAGUCGGGGGUGAAAUCCUGGAGCUCAACUCCAGAACUGCCCUCGAUACUGGCGACCUUGAGUCCGGGAGAGGUGAGUGGAAUUCCUAGUGUAGAGGUGAAAUUCGUAGAUAUUUAGGAAGAACACCGGUGGCGAAGGCGGCCCACUGGUCCGGUACUGACGCUGAGGUGCGAAAGCGUGGGGAGCAAACAGG